rnacentral:rRNA from 1 species
UACGAAGGGUGCAAACGUUGCUCGGAAUUACUGGGCGUAAAGGGCUCGUAGGCGGCCAACUAAGUCGGAUGUGAAAUCCCCAGGCUUAACCUGGGAACUGCAUCCGAUACUGGAUGGCUUGAAUCCGGGAGAGGGAUGCAGAAUUCCAGGCGUAGCGGUGAAAUGCGUAGAUAUCUGGAGGAAUACCGGUGGCGAAGGCGGCAUCCUGGACCGGCAUUGACGCUGAGUGAGCGAAAGCCAGGGGAGCAAACGGG